ACCUCAGAAGUGGAGAAGGACGGAUAGACCUGUAGUCACACGGAGAUUCAGCACAACUUUUAGAAUCAGAUCACAGGUGAAGCAGCGGGAGCAAAUAUAUCGGAGAGCAGCUGACAGAGGUGGAAAAAUGACAGGAAUCACAAGGCACCUUGUUGACCAUCUACUGACAUUUUCACUCCAGAAAAACGAUGUCCAGAGCGUAGAGGAGGCCCAGACCCGUCUCUCUUUCCUGGCUGAGAACAAGAAGCUGUGGAGUCAGAAGAUGUUCCUGGAUGUUGGCAGGGACUCCAUUCUUCUCAGAGAUAUCAAAAGUCAGGAUGAGCUGGAGAAAUAUACCUUUGAAGCCAUCUAUCGCUGCCAAGCCAUCUCCACAGAAAAACACUUCCCAUCGCUGCUUCUUCUGGUCUGUCAGAGUUCAGACCAGAAGAAGCCCGACAUUCACUUCUUUAGCUGUGAGACGGUAAAGGCAGAGAAAGUCUGUGAUGACAUUUCACGUGCUGUUUCCAGUUGCUCCACCAGAAGCAAGAAGACGACCAGCAACAGACGGCCUCAGAGCGAAGAGGAGAUGUACGAAUUCUACGAGAUACCAAAUCAUCCUUUCCUGCAUGCUCCGAACCCUCCUCCAGUCAACCCUCCACCAUAUCCUGGACCCAGAGCUAAUGGACUGAACGGCGGGCCUGAUAUCUCCUUCCUGCGAGCAGAGAGAGAAGUGGCGAUCCUCAACCACUGCUUUGAUGACAUUGAGGGCUUCAUGGCCAAGCUGCAGGAGACGGCAAAUGCUACAAUGACCCUAAACCAGAGGAAGAAGAAGAAGAAGAAAAGUAAAAAGCAAAGUGCUGAAGAUGAUUUACUUGCUGAGAAAGCUCGACCCCCACCAGAGGAGGAGUUUGUCGAUAUUUUCCAGAAAUUCAAAUACUGCUUCUGUCUUCUGGCUCGUCUGAAAUCAGCCAUCACCAGUCCUUCAUCAGAGGAGCUCGUCCACCAUGUGUUCAAAGCUCUGGAUAUUAUGGUGAAAACCACAAGCGGACCAGCUCUCGCGGCCUCGGUGUCCAGCCCUGCAAUGACCAACUCUGCUGUCUCACUGUUACAAGACACCCUGAACGAGGAGGAGCGGGAACUGUGGACGUUCCUGGGCUCCAACUGGACGCUCCCUCUCUCUCAGCUCAGGAGGCCCGUGGCUCCAUACACACCUGUGUUCUUCAACAACUGGAAGCCGGAAGCCUCCAGGCCAGAUGGACAGGUUUGGGAGGAUCCUGUCGAGUCACAGCACAAGCAUGAAGCCCUCCGUGUGAAACAAGAGACUCAUCAACCACUUCCAGAUAUCAACCAUGAAUCAGGUGUGCCCACUCCUGAUACUGACAGACUUUACAGCUGCAGCUACGACUUCAUAGCCAGGAACAGCAGUGAGCUGUCAGUGCAGCACGGAGAGACUCUGGAGGUGAUUGAGUCAUCCAAGCGCUGGUGGAAGUGUCGGAAUCGCUACAACCAGGUUGGAUUUGUGCCCUUCAACAUCCUGGAGCCUGUGGCUCACGCAGAGAGUCCUGUCUCCAGCAAACCUCCCAGUGUUCCAGCUGCACCCCCCCUUCCUAAGACGCUGUCUGUAGUCCCACCGAGCCCCCCUACUCUGCACAACACCCUCUCCCACUCCCCACAGCGCCCUCGCAGCUUACCACCAUACGCCCAGCUCGCACCGGCUGUAGAUGAAACCGAUAAAGUCAUGAUGGUGAACGAUGAGCUGCUCCAGAGGCUGACCAAUGGGAAGGCCAGUAUGAGCAAGCCCCUUAUCAUCCAGCGGGCCUCGGAGACCUCCGUCCCUCUGGAUUUCCACUCCCCUCCAGAGGAGGUGGCUGGGUGGCUAAAAGGGAAAGGCUUCAGCGAACCGACGGUGACGUGUUUGGGUGUCCUGACUGGUGCACAACUCUUCUCCCUCAAUAAGGAGGAGCUCCGAGCGGUGGUUCCAGAAGAGGGCACCAGGGUGUACAGUCAGCUCACCGUGCAGAAAUCAUUGCUGGAGAAUACAAACCACUUGUUCAGAGGCAACCUGUGACAAGAAGAACUGUGAGAAAAUGGUCACAGGACGCUGAAGAAGCCCUGCAGGGUUGUUUUGAGACCACAGAUUGGAUGACUCGCUGCCAAGGAUAUGAAGAGGACAUCAAUGCCAUGACUGGAUGUGUCACUGACUAUAUAAACUUCUGUGUGGACAACAUCAUACCCACCAGAACAGUGAGAUGCUUCGCUAAUAACAAACCCUGGAUCACCAGUGAACUGAAGAAUCUGCUAAAUGAGAAAAAGAGCCUUCAAGGAGGGAGACAGGGAAUUAUGAGUAUACAGAAGCAACUGGAGAUCAAGAUCAGAGACAGCAAGUAGGCAUACAGGAAGAAGCUGGAGAACAAACUACAGAGGGACAAUAUCAGAUGUCUGGUCAGGGAUGAAGAAGAUCACAGGCUUCAAGCAGAGGAAGGAUUGCACAGAUGGCAGCCUGGACACAGCCAAUGAACUGAACAAAUUCUUCAGUAGGUUCAGUUCCAGAACAAACCCAGCAUCAUCCUCGCCUGUCCCCAGCCAAUCACACACACCAUCCUCCUCUGAUCCAACAUUUUCCUGUCACACGCCAGCUCUUUUGUGCUCUAACAUGGUCAUGGACUCUUCUGGUUCUAUAAAUCUGUCUUCAACCAAGUCAGGAGAUGCCCCCCCCAGAAGUCAGGUGAAGAGGCAGCUGGAGAGACUGAACAGGAACAAGGCUGCAGGUCCAGAUGGUGUCAGCCCCAGAGUACUGAAGGCCUGUGCAGAGCAGCUCUGUGGGAUUCUGCAGCACCUCUUCAACCUCAGCCUGGCCCAGGAGAAGGUUCCAGUCCUGUGGAAGACAUCCUGCCUUGUUCCAGUUCCAAAGAAAACUCGCCCAUCAGUCAAUGACUACAGACCGGUUGCCCUGACAUCCCACAUCAUGAAGGUCCUGGAGAGACUCCUGUUGGUCCACCUGAAUAAGCAAACUAGGACAUAGCAGGACCUGCUGCAGUUUGCUUAUCGCCAUGGAGUUGGAAUUGAAGAUACCAUCAUCCAGUUGCUUCAACCAACCCACUGUCAUCUGGUCAAAGCAGGCAGCACUGUGAGGGUCAUGUUCUUUGAUUUCUCCAGUGCAUUUAACACAAUUCAGCCUGAUGUACUUUGCCAGAAACUCCAGAAGACACUGGUGGGGGCCUCAACUAUCGCCUGGAUUAAAGACUACCUGACAAACAGACCACAGUUUGUGAGGCUGAAGAACUGCACAUCAAACCAGGCGAUCAGUAACAUUGGAGCACCACAGGGGACUGUACUCUCACCAUUCCUUAUUACCCUAUACACCUCAGACUUCCAGUACAAAUCAGAGACCUGUCAUCUACAGAAAUACUCAGAUGACUCUGCAGUUGUCGGGUGUAUCAGAGAUGGACAGGAAGCUGAGUACAGAGAGUUGGUGGAGCGCUUUGUGGCAUGGUGUGGAAACAAUCAUCUGACCUUGAACGUGAACAAAACAAAGAUGAUUUUAGACUUCAGAAGAAACAGGGUGGAGUCAAACACUGUUUCCAUCAUGGGAGAAGAAGUGGAGGUGGUUGAGGAAUACAAAUACCUUGGAGUUCACCUGGACAACUAGGGAUGACUGUGGAACCACUGAAGGAGAUAAUGCAAAGAAGGAUUCUCCAGAGAAUCAAGAAAAUUAUGGACAACCCUGAGCAUUCUCUUCGCAAGAUUGUCUGACAACGGAAGAGUGGCUUCAGUCAGGCUUCUUCAGUUUCGCUGCAACACUGACCGCUACUGGAGAUCCUUCCUGCCAACAGCCAUUGAUGCCAGGCGAGCCACAGAGCUGGAAGCUGUCAUGGAGAAACAGAAACUGAAGGUUGACCUGAAGCUGGAGAGCAGCACUUUGUGAGCUGCUACACACCUGAGAGGAAGGUGGUGUUUCAUCUGGAACAAGCUGCC